AUACUACCUGGUGGGGGAGACACCGAGAUCACGAAGGAGGUUUCCCCGGGGCGAGGCUCACGCACUGCGCUCCGGUGGUGCUGACCCCUGCGAUUUCCCCAAACGUGGGCGGCUCAGCUGCGUGAUUUGUGGUAGUGGCGGACUGUGUGUGCCCUCUCCCCUG